CGCCUAACAGCUAGCCUCCCCCACAAAAACAAACCCAAACCAUUAAUACCCCCGAAUGCCCGACGCACUCAUAAUUAAACCAUUUUUCCACCCCAGUACGGGCGACAGAACAGGACCUGCGAGAGCGAUAGACAAAGUACCGCAAGGGAACGCUGAAAGAGAAAUGAAACAAACCAGUAAAGCCCAGAAAAGCAGAGCUUAAUACUUGUACCUUUUGCAUCAUGAUUUAGCUAGCAACACACAAACAAAGAGCCCUUUAGUUUGGUCCCCCGAAACUAGAUGAGCUACUCCAAGACAGCCCGACAAAGGGGCAAACCCGUUUCUGUAGCAAAAGAAUGGGGAGAGCUUCGAGUAGAGGUGAUAAACCUACCGAGUCUAGUUAUAGCUGGUUGCCCAAGAAACGAAUAGAAGUUCAGCCUCUCAGGUUCUCCCCUCAAACCGCACCAACUGUGUCCGACACUAAGAAACUGGGAGAGUUAUUCGAAGGGGGUACAGCCCCUUCGACCCAAGACACAACUUUUAUAGGAGGCUAAAGAUCACAUCCGCUUAAGGUAAAAUAUUUUGGUGGGCCUAAAAGCAGCCACCCACGUAGAAAGCGUUAAAGCUCAAAUAUAAACAAAACCCAUUAUCCUGACAACCUCUUCUUAAGCCCCUUCACCCUAUUGAGCCCCUCCACAUCAAUGUGGAAGAGACCAUGCUAAUAUGAGUAAUAAGAGGGAGACCCCCUCUCCUUGCACAAGUGUAAAUCGGAACGGACCCACCACCGACCCCUAUCCGGCCCCAACCCCAGAGGGUAAUGAAUGAAAAUAGGACAACAAGAAAACCAUUCAACACAAAGCCGUUAGCCCCACACUGGAGUGCCCACAAGGACAGACUAAAAGAAAAAGAAGGAAUUCGGCAAACACAAGCCUCGCCUGUUUACCAAAAACAUCGCCUCUUGCAAAAAUAAAGAAUAAGAGGUCCCGCCUGCCCUGUGACAAUACGUUUAACGGCCGCGGUAUUUUGACCGUGCGAAGGUAGCGCAAUCACUUGUCUCUUAAAUGGAGACCUGUAUGAAUGGCAUAACGAGGGCUUAACUGUCUCCUUUUUCCAGUCAAUGAAAUUGAUCUUCCCGUGCAGAAGCGGGAAUUUAUACAUAAGACGAGAAGACCCUAUGGAGCUUAAGAUACUAAGACAGAUCAUGUUAAAGACCCCUUACAAAGGAGCAAACUAAAUGACCCCCGUCCUAAUAUCUUUGGUUGGGGCGACCGCGGGGUAACAUAAAACCCCCAUGUGGAGCGGGGACACUAUUCCCCAAAUCCAAGGGCGACAGCCCUAAGCAACAGAACAUCUGACCAUCAAGAUCCGGCAAAGCCGAUCAACGAACCGAGUUACCCUAGGGAUAACAGCGCAAUCCCCUUCUAGAGCCCAUAUCGACAAGGGGGUUUACGACCUCGAUGUUGGAUCAGGACAUCCUAAUGGUGCAGCCGCUAUUAAGGGUUCGUUUGUUCAACGAUUAAAGUCCUACGUGAUCUGAGUUCAGACCGGAGUAAUCCAGGUCAGUUUCUAUCUAUGAAGUGACCUUUUCUAGUACGAAAGGACCGAAAAGGAGAGGCCCAUACCAAAGGCACGCCUCCCCCUCACCUAGUGAAAUAAACUAAAAUAGGCAAGAGGGCACGCCCCCCUGCCUAAGAAAAUGGCAU
rnacentral:rRNA from 1 species